rnacentral:lncRNA from 1 species
UCAGCACAGCGCAGCGCUCCUGGAGAGGCUGUGGGUUCGUGGCAUCCGCGCCGCGGCCGCAAGUGUAGCAGGUUUCGUACCUGGUGUUCAUCGCCGUUAAGUCAUCGCUGCUGCCACCCAGGCACGGCUCUCUAUGCCGCCGCUCCCUCCACCCUCUAGGCACUGCCUGCCGUAAGAAUUUUAACUGCGACACUCGCUUCAGCAGGAGAUUUUAUUGGCUGCAGACACACGCAGCAUCUUCUUGCGCUCCUCCUUGAGGUGGAUGGGCAGCUAGCUGCAGAUGGCACAGGAUGAUGCGCAUCUUUCGCACGCUGGCUCCAAGAUCUCCGCUGCCAGAUGCAGCAACAAAGCUUCUUUGUACAGACAGCCCUGGACACGCUUCCAGCAGCAAUUCUUCUUGCAGAAACUGGUGCAAGAUGACUUCAACAGAAGUGGAGUAAAUAAAGAUGAUCACAGAACUUGGAAGCUGACGAAAUUAAUUUUGGAAAAGAGCUAGCUUGGAGCAUGACAGAAGAAUGCGAUGGAAAGAGUGCUAGGAGCCCAACUCAAGACUGAUGUGUGCUUGGCAGGCAGUCUACCCCCGAUCUCAGUCCUCCAGCCUUUUGGCCUUUUUUCCUUUUUGGAGACAGAAUUGCAUCAUAUGGCAUCCUACACAGUCCUGCCUCAGUCUCUGGAGUGCUGGGAUUGUAGGCCUAUGCCACCUAGCCUUUCUACAAUACAAACAAAUAUGAAAAGAAGAGGGGCUUCUUUGGAAAGGAGUACAGGGACUAUGGAAGAGAUGAAAAGAUAAUAUUGUCAGAAAUUAUGCCGCUUUUGAAGAGAUAAACUGAACUCUUUUGAUUCUGUGAGGUUAUUAAAGAAUAUAAUUUUCAAAUCACGGUAAAAUCUUGAUUCAGCAACACAUGAGGAUAAUCAUUGUUUCCAUGGCAACCUUGGGAAACAGUUGAAAGUCUGGGUUGGAAGGAACAGAGCCAGUUGGCCAUGGACUGAAACUUUUGGAACUGAUUCUGAGGAGUUAAUGUUUCCAUGAAUAUCUCAGAAGGAGAUGUGGACAAACGAACAGUUAUCUCACUCCUGUAGCUGGCUGAGCUUUUUAAAGAUGGCUAUUCUGAAUUCUUCACAGAUGGCACAGUGUCAGAAUCAUGUGUGGCCUCCUGCUGCCUGAACCAUGCCGCUAAGACAGUUGCCCACUGUGCAGUUUCACACCAUCUGCAGAGAGCAACACUGGCUUGGGAGAGCCUUGCCAGUUGCUGAAAGCCUAGCUGACUGCCAAGCCUUGCACUGUAGACUGAAAAUUGCUCUCUUUGCUGAGCUCAGUACUAAUACUUAGAUCUUCAUGGUCUCCUGGGAGACCAUGUCAGCUGCUGUUCAGUGAGAUAAAUUUGGAUCAGCUGAAGAUAUGCACACUCUAUGCCUUCCUUGACUGUCAGCUAAACAGUCUGCACUCCUGGCUUAGUACAGCCUUGGCUGCUGAGAGCCCCAUUCCUCCCCUGUGCUCUUCAUUGUCCUCAUGAUCUGGCUUUCAUCAUCCAUUAUACUCCUAACACUGGGAGUGAAGUGUCAUUGAAGAAUGUUCAUCAGGUACUACCUCAAAGGGCUGGAGAUGAUUGGUGAAUGCUUUGAUUCUUCAUUCCUCCUAGGACACAUAUCAAGCCCCCAGAAUUUCUCUCUAUCCAGUUGCACCAGUGUGAGGAACUUGACGGUGUCAGGAAAGUGAAACUGCUUCUCUGCUCCAUAUAAAUGUCUGUGCAGAUGCAAAGCCAUGCAUUACAUGGUAGCUCACCUUUAAUCCUAGCACUCAGGAGACAGAGGCAGGAGGAUCUCUCCGAGCUCAAAGCCAGCCUGGUCUUCACAGUGAGUUCCAGGACAGCCAACGCUACACAGGAAUCCUGUGUACAGGUCCUUGGUAUUGCACUCCUCUCUAUAAACACAACUUGCUUUUAGAAUGUGUGGUUGUUAAGUUGUUCUGUGAAGGAUGGAUAAAGGCUAGCUCACUACUACACCCGUCAGCUUGCUCCUGUCACUUCUUCUCACCUUUGAGCACUUAGCAUCCCUCUCCGUGUUGUCUUUGCUGAAAUGCUUGCUAAGGAGAAGCUCCUCUGUAGCUGUCCUCUAGCCCCAGCCAAGAUUCUUUCAAGACUUUUCUUUGGCCUUCUGUAAUUUGAAUAUGAUGAAUGUUUUUAUUUACUACUUCAUUUUGUAUUUUGAAUCUUUUUUAAACCGUGCCAGGUUCUCUAGGCUCCUGGUUCUGAUAUGAAUUGAGCGAUUAUCUUAGGCCCUUGUGUUUCAAAUCUUUCUUUCUUCCUUCCUUCCUUUCUUUUCUUUUCUUUUUCAGCAAGUGCUGUUACCUGCUAAACUAUCUCGCUGAAAUUUAUCUCUUAGAAAAUUUUCUAAUAUAUUAUCACUGUCAGGGAUUCUUUGGCUUGGUUCAGUCUGCUAAUAAGCUUAGGAAAGGCAAUUUUCAUUUUGUUGCAAUAUUUUUGAUCUGUAGCUUUUGUUGUUAUUCUUGUUCAUUUUUCAAACCAGGGUUUCUCCACGGCUAUACUGGAACUCUCUGUAGACUAGGCUGGCCUCAAACUCUCAAAUAUCUCACUGCCUCUGCCUCCCAUGUUCUGGGAUUAUAUCCCUCCACUGCCCAACAGCAUUUAUUUUAUUCUUAAGAUUUGUUUUUCCCUGCUCGUUUGUUUGUUUGUUUGUCUGUUUGUUUGGUAUGGUCAUUUGUUUGUUUGUUUUGAUGUAUUUGAACUUGCUAUCUUUAUGUGAGGAUAAGCCUAAGUGUGUAAUAUUUCUGUACUCAUCUCCCAAAUGCUGAAAUGUAGACACGAACCACCACACACUAGGUUUGUUUGGUUUUCUUUUGCAUGCAUUUAUUGUAUUGUGUACAGUACUGGUACCAAAGGAGUCCAUCACAUUCUCUAGAACUUGAAUUACAGAUGGUUGUGAGUUGUCACAUGGUGCUGAGAAUUAAACUUGAUCUUCUUCUUUUUUAAAUUUAAAUUUCUUCACUUACAUUUAAAAUGCUAUCUGAAAAGUCCCCCAUUACCCCCCCCCCUCACUACCCUACCUACCCACUCCCACUACUUGGCCCCGGUGUUCCCUGUACUGAGGCAUAUAAAGUUUGCAAGACCAAGGAGCCUCUCUUCCCAAUGAUGGCCGACUAGGCCAUCUUCUACAUAUGCAGCUAGAGACACAAGCUCUGGGGUACUGGUUAGUUCAUAAUGUUAUUCCACCUAUAGGGUUGCAGACCCCUUCAGCUCCUUGGUUACUUUCUCUAGCUCCUCCAUUGGGGGCCCUGUGUUCUAAACUUGAUCUUCUGAAGAGUAACCACUAUUGAUUUUAACUGCUAAGUCAUGUCUCCAGUCCCAAAAGAGGGUUUUUUUGUUUGUUUGUUUGUUUUUUAUUACUGUGAUGAUCCUAUAAUGAAGAAGAGAAUGCCGGUGGUUUGUUUAUGUGUUUGUUUGUUUUUUGAGACAGGGUUUCACUGUGUGUCCUUGGCUGCCCUGGAAUUUAAACAUCAGACUGGCCUUGAUCUCACAGAGAUCUGCCUACUUUUGCGCUGAGAUUAAAGGUCUGCACUAACACCUCCCGGCCAGAUGUCUCUUUAACAGACUGACUUUACUUCCUCACGAGUAUUAUGAUGGUUUCUUCCUGUCCUGUGAAGAAUGCUAUUGGUUUGGGGUUUGGUUUGUGGAAUUUUUGUUUUCUGGUUUUUUUGUUAUUUUCCCCCCCUAAAUAUCAUGCUGUCUUAUUCUUUGGU